ensembl:snRNA U6 U6 spliceosomal RNA
GUGCUGGCUUGCCAGCACAUAUACUAAAAUUGGAUCGAUACAGAGAAGAUUAGCAUAGUCCCUGCAUAAAGAUGACAUGCAAAUUCAUGAAGUGUUCUAUGUUUUG